GAGAGAAUCCUAAGGUGAGCGAGAGAACUCUCGUUAAGGAACUCGGCAAAAUGACCCCGUAACUUCGGGAGAAGGGGUGCUCUAUUAGGGUGCAAGCCCGAGAGAGCCGCAGUGAAUAGGCCCAGGCGACUGUUUAGCAAAAACACAGGUCUCUGCAAAACCGUAAGGUGACGUAUAGGGGCUGACGCCUGCCCGGUGCUGGAAGGUUAAGAGGAGUGCUUAGCUUCGGCGAAGGUACGAAUUGAAGCCCCAGUAAACGGCGGCCGUAACUAUAACGGUCCUAAGGUAGCGAAAUUCCUUGUCGGGUAAGUUCCGACCCGCACGAAAGGCGCAACGAUCUGGGCACUGUCUCAACGAGAGACUCGGUGAAAUUAUAGUACCUGUGAAGAUGCAGGUUACCCGCGACAGGACGGAAAGACCCCGUGGAGCUUUACUGCAACCUGAUAUGGAAUGUUUGUACCGCUUGUACAG
rnacentral:rRNA from 1 species